GCAUGGUGAGAUUGACCCAGAAUUAAGCAAGUUACAUCAAAAAAAUUGUAAGCCUUCUAUUUUUUCCUUCUUAUUUCAUUACUAAAUCCACAUCUGAUUUGUUUCUUUUUUUUUGACAGGAUGACUUAAUGGAAAAGCAAAGAAAGGGUGAAUUCAAGCCGCAAGGAACUAAUGAUGUGCUUACCACUGUGUUAGAAACUCCAGAGCAUUUGGGCAGGGUUCGCGGGGUUGGGAGCUUCAUACCACCAACCUUGUUUUUUGUUUGCCGAAACAGAAAAGGAAACGAAUUACCAAAGAGGAGUUGUUGGCCCAUGAUGAGAAGAUGAAAGAGGAGUUUGAGCAAAAAACAAAAGGAUUUAGAGGUACAAAUUGCAGAGUUGAGAGCUUUGAUUGCUGCAAGCAAUAUUCAUUCACCAAUAUUGUCCGACAAAGCAAGCUAUCCAGGGGAAAAAGAAGAAGAACAAGAACAACAGAAGAAUGUGAAGAAAAAACAAGAAAUUGCAAAGAAAUUGAUGGUAGAUGAUGCCAAACAGGAUGGAGAUUGUUUUGCUAUUGACCCUCCUCCACCUCCACCGGAACAGAAGUUAAACGUAAACUCUAUGAUUUAAUUACUCCAUGG
rnacentral:lncRNA from 1 species